rnacentral:sRNA from 1 species
CUCUUCUAAUUUUAGCCUCCAGCGUUGGA